rnacentral:lncRNA from 1 species
UGGUAAUUAGAUCGGACAGAAAGUUGAUCUUUUGUUUAAUAUCUCUCAAAUUCAUCAAUUUAUUCUUCUUCUUCUCUCUCUCUCUGCUCUUCUUCUCUCUCUCUCUGCUCUUUGUUUGUUCACGUUAAUCAUAGAGAUUGAAGUAAUACUUUUGGGUUAUAAGUAACGAAUAAGAUUUUCUCAAGUUCAACAUGAUUAGAUCUUGAUUCAAUCGUGGCCAACUCUUUUCCCUAAACCUUUCUAUUCUUUCACAAGUCAAAACCUUAAUUAAACUUAGAUCAUCGUCUUCAUCAUCGUCUCCGGCCUGUUCUUAAUCCAUCGAUUCAGAAGGUAUUUCUUUCUCCUUGAAUCAAACCUCUCUUUCUACUUUUCUAUAAAUUUCUACUUUUUUUUAUCACAAGUUAUGACUUAUUAAACCUAUGAAUUGCAGCCUCAUAGAAAUUGAGGCAAAGCUGACAAGGCUCGAAAUUGAGAAGGUUAGUAUGAGUUUUUUUUAGUGUAAUAUGUUGUCUAUAUUUAGGUAAUAUAUAGAUGAUGCUCUUAGGUACUUGCAGUGUUUUUUUUUUACCCUCUCAUCAUGUAUAGAAAUUGAAUGCUCAAAUAUAAAAGUUAUUUUUGCAAUUGCGGCUUUCUUUCUUAAUGCGUGACAAUGUUAAUUCUGUAUAGAAAGUAAUCUUGAAGGUAUCUAUACAUGUUCACUUGGUGUUUGGAAUACACAUGAAUAUGAAUGUUCAAAGUUCAAAUUUAGUUAUUUAAUUAUGUCCUUUCCAUCGAAGCAUCUACAUUGUUUCACUUUCAGCUUGUGAUCACUCAAGUGAAUGAGUGAUCGCAUUGAAAACUAACAUAAUUAAUAAACUAAUAGAAAUUUUGGGCCGAGUAAACAUUAUGUAAUUAAGCUCGUGAGCAAGGCUUCGUAGGCUGUUGAGGCUAAUGCUCCUACACAAACCUAGACGGAAAGGCCUGCAUUCAAAACUUGAGAUGGCGAAAUAACUACACUCGAUCUCAUCUGUAGCUUUAGCAGUAAUAGGAAGAUGAUGUUGACAAAUAUAAUUCAACAAAGUACUGUUGAAUUACUGUUUGGAGAUUUGUAAUAGAGGAAACAAAAUUAUGCUUAAACAUAAUUCAUAACAAUGACUUAAUUAUCUCAGUUUUUCGCAAGCCAAAAAUAAAGUACUGUUUGGAGAUUUGUAAUAGAGGAAACAAAAUUAUGCUUAAACAUAAUUCAUAACAAUGACUUAAUUAUCUCAGUUUUUCGCAAGCCAAAGUGCGAAACAGAUUCAAGUUUUUAUAUCUGAAUAACAAUCUUUCAAAUCUGGAGUUCAAGAUCCACGAGAAAUAAACCCAAUGCUAGGCCAUUGAGCCACUCACAGAUUCAAGUUAAUUAUUUGAAAAAUAAUUAUUUAAGACAGAAACUUCAAGAUAACGAUAAAUAAACCAAAUGCUAUACCAUUGUCAAAUUUUUCUGAUCAAUCUUGACAUAUAUGCCUUGGCAGUCAAUAUUUUCUGUCAAAUUACUUCCUCAUUAAUAUCGUCAGUGCCAAAUGAGUCCUCCAAAUCAGAGCCAGAUGAGUUCUCCAAGUCCGCGUCAAUGUCCACUUCAAUUUCUUCCUCAUUAACAUCAUCAGUAAUUGAGUCCCCCAAGUCCGCAGGGGCAGUUGCUCUGCAGUUCAGGAACAGAAACAGAUUAACCUCUCGUCAGCUCAAACGAAGGUAAGAAGUCAAAACAUGCAGAAACUGAUAAUAUUAGAAAAUUUUGUGUUAACUGGUGAUCACAUAUGGUUAAUACAAACUGCCAAUAAUAUCAGUAGAGUAUAUAGUAUUUUCUUUCCAUUAAAUCAUCUAGCAUGUCAGUUACUCGAUUUUGGAGUACAUGAUGAUGUAUUUAGUUUAUCAUGCAAUGUAACGAGCGAUAAGAAUGCAGAUUCAUAUGAAGGAAUUAUGGCUUUCGAGUUACUGACUCUAAUAACUAACUGGAAAUUUCUUAUUUACGAAAUGACAUAUAUAUAUAUGAAUACGCAUAUCGAUCCUAAACUAUUAUGAACCGCAUUACCCCAGUAAUGCAUGCCAUCAAAAUAACGGAAGAGAGCCGACUGGCGACUACAACUUAAGGCUAAAUCGAAUGCUUCAAUGCAUGAAUUAUAGUAGAAGUAAACACAUACACAAAUAAGUAAAGAAAGAAAAUCUCACAUGGCAUGAGGUUUAAAAUUACAAUACCAAUGUACAACAAAACUGAAAACAAAAGAGACAUACUAAUCAAGAUCUGACAUUUUAGCUAUGAUAGGGAAAAAAACAUGAGAGUGGGGGUAAGGAAAAUGACAAUGUGGAAUAGGGGUGGAAUAUGGCUCUAACAAACUUAACCAAAUAGCUAUUACAAAAAAAAAGGCUCUAAGAAAAACCCAAAAAUCAACAUAAGUGAUUACAUCCAAUAUGAUAAAUAACUAUAUAUAUAUAUAUAUAAUAUACUACUCUACAUUACAUCCUCAAUUACAAAUGACGUUAGUAUAGAAAACAAUGGUAGUUACAUAACACACCUGAAGAAAUUCCAUAUGUCAUGGCGAAUAUUUCAAGGCUGGCAACAAUCACAAUUAAGGCUUCUCUAUGUAAAAACUUCACCUGAACGUCCAACAGUCUCCAACCAAGCAAAUCUGAGUAGGAUAUUUUAGGCCUGCAUUCAUGGAAAUAUGAUUUUGUUGUUGUGAGACUGUCAACUCUUUGAAGAAGAGAGAUAACACCUUCUUUGCCUGUGAAUUUACGGAGUGUAUAUAUAUAUUAACCUUUGUGUUAAUAUAUGGUUUUAAUUUUUGCGGUUGGGCUUAUUAGGGUCUCUCUCUCUCUCUCUCUCUCUCUCUCUCUCUCUCUCUCUCUCAAUUAAAAUCAACAUUCAAUUAAUCUCUGUAAGACUCUUUUUUUGUUAUUGUUUGUUCAAUUUGAUUUAAUUAGUGUGUUGUUAUUGAUCACAGAUUCCUUGUCUCUCUCAAUAUCGCCUCUUUCUCUCAUAAUCGUUCAAAAGGUAUGUCAAAUUUAGUCACUCAAAAGGUUUUUUUCCUGAAUUGUUAUCAAUUUUAGUCAUUUUAUUAUGAUAUGGAUUUGAUUUGAUUUAUUAUGAAUCUGAUUUUAUGAGAAUAACAAUUUGAUUUAUAAUGAUUUUGCCUUUCAGCAAAUUCUCAUCUUCUCUGCAAAUAUCUGCUUGUUUAAUAUUUUUGUUUAGGGUUUAGGGUUCUACAAUGCAUUAUCAGAAGGGCAUGACCAUGUGUGUGUGUUUUAGCGACUGUUUUGGUCAUUUUAGUCAUACUGUGAUUAAUAGUAUUGUCAACAUAAGGAAUACAAACUGUCAUAGUGUGUCAGUCUGUUUUUUUUUUUUUUUUUUUUUAUUUUUGCAAAAUAAUUUCAUAAAUGGAAGAGAAAGUAUUGGUUGGCGUCGCCUAUUUUCACGCAUCCUUUCUAUUUUAAACUUUUCUACCUUUAUCUAAUGAACAUUAGGCUAAACUCUAUUCUCAAUCAUCAACUGAAAUGGAACACCAUCAAUUUAGAUAAAAUUCAAUCAGAUUGUUGAGAAAUUGAAAAAAAAAGUCCCUCAAUUCAGUUCAUGUGAGAUGUUCAAAAUCACCAUUGACGCAGAAUCAGAGUUAAAACCCAUUUCAGUUAAAGGAAUCAGAGUUGAAAACGCCUGGCUUACACACAAAAAAUGUGUUUGAUUUUUAUUGAUUGAUAAUUUGUUAUUUAGAAAGAUAAUAAAAUUAUCAAGGUUCACCAUACAGUUAUAGUGAAGUUGUUGUCCUUAAUUUUGGUAGUUGAUUAUUUCUUUAUUAGCCAUACAUUGUGUUAUAAUUUAGAUAUGUGAAUUUAAGGUUUUGUGGUCAUUUGGAAAUUCUAUUAUCAUGAUUGUUUGAUAUGGGUAAGUACUUUGAGCAAGACUGACCAGAACGUAUCACAAUUUGUUUUUGUUCUGACAUUCAAUACCUUUGUUGUGUGUAAUUGAUGAUUGAUGACUUUGUAACUUUAUGCUUGUUUUGGUGAUUUCCUGAAGGAUCGAAUUAUUAGCUGAGAAGUGAGAACACAAGGCGAUAGUAAUCUAUAUAUUUUCUGACAGCAUAAAUUGAAUCAUAAUCUGUGAUGGCCAGAUUGGAGUUUGACUAAUGCGAAUU